rnacentral:rRNA from 1 species
GACGAACGCUGGCGGCGUGCUUAACACAUGCAAGUCGAGCGAGUGGCGGACGGGUGAGUAAUGUCUGGGAAACUGCCCGAUGGAGGGGGAUAACUACUGGAAACGGUAGCUAAUACCGCAUACCAUCGGAUGUGCCCAGAUGGGAUUAGCUAGUAGGUGGGGUAACGGCUCACCUAGGCGACGAUCCCUAGCUGGUCUGAGAGGAUGACCAGCCACACUGGAACGUGGACACGUUCCAGACUCCUACGGGAGGCAGCAGUGGGGACUCUUGCACAAUGGGCGCAAGCCUGAUGCAGCCAUGCCGCGUGUAUGAAGAAGGCCUUAGGGUUGUAAAGUACUUUCAGCGGGGAGGCGUUACCCGCAGAAGAAGCACCGGCUAACUCCGUGCCAGCAGCCGCGGUAAUAC